rnacentral:lncRNA from 1 species
UAUCCUAGGAAAGUCUGAGAACAUAACACAAUUCAGGUGAUCUCAGGACUUACAUCCAUUAACAGAAAAAGACUGUGAAGCCAUCACAAAAGCCAUUUGGAGAGAAAACACAUAAUACCAUAUACAAACAGAAUCAGAGCAGAUAAAAAUGAGGGAGAGGAGUUAGGUGAUGCCACGGGGGAAUUAUUUACCAGGUGCUGUAGGCUGUGAGGAAAAUGAUGAGAACAUCUUUUCAAAAGGGGAGCCACAGAAAUGUACUGAGGCUAUGGCGGCACAAGUCCUCUAACUGCCUCCAGCUCCACUGAUCUGUUUCCCCUUGGUAUCCUGGCUCCCAGGAGCUCUGCACCCACUGCUCCCAUCACACACCCCAGGGAUGGUGAAGCCUCAUCUGCCACGGCUUGUCUUCCAGGCCCUUCAUUCACAUUUCAUUGUGACCAAUGCCGUCCCAGUGGUAAGUGUUGCUCGGAAGAUAUUCUGCCUCUCCAUGUGUCUGUUAAAGAAGGUGUGAGAAGGGCCUGCUCGAGGUAUUUGUCUUGCCCUGCUGCUGUAGCUGUAGGGUGAAUCUAACAUUCCUCCCCCACAGCACCACCAAUGCAAGUUCCAGUCAGCGAGGAGCAGAACCAGAAGCAAUAAGCCGGUGCGUGUCACAGAUGGCAGGAAUGAGAAAAGUUAGCUGGCUUCCACCUGCAAAGAUGUCAGAGCCUGGUGUAGAACGGACUUGCGUGAGGCAGAUCCAAGCGGAACAUGCUGCUUCCCAGCAAUCCCACUGCUGGGGUUGUGAUGUCUGGUGAGAGGGCUUUGCCCCAGGGAGUUUCAAAAUGCGCAAUGGUGCUGGGCCUGUCCCCACCCGAUCCAAACCAACCUGUGUGAGAGCGUUCCAGGGGAGUGAAGGACCUCGGCACGGCUGCUUACAGCCACCAGCCUGCUCCUGUUGCUCCAACAGAUGGCGUACCUGCCUCGCUGGAACCAGACGCAUGUUCUAUUGUCUGCUCGCUUGCCAAGGUCCUCAGGCAGAAUGCAAACUGCACAUACGUGUACUCAAGAACCUCUUUCCCUUAU